rnacentral:rRNA from 1 species
AAAGUAAUCAGAAUGUUAUUUCCCGAAAGUAUAAGAUCUAAGUGUACUAUUUAAUUUUAGAUUACAGUCUAGGUGCUGUAGCAUUAGCUCAUGUAAAUAAUACCUUAGUGGCGAAACACCUACAGUUAUACUGAUAACUGGAUAGCUGUUAAAUAUAUUUAGUUUAUAUCAAAUCUAUAGAGUGAUAAGAUUCUGUAGUUGGAAUUAAUUUUAUGUACUAAUGUGUCAGUAACUAAUACUUAGUGACAUAGCUUACUUAUGAAAAUAACUAUUUACCCACUAUUCUACCAUAGCGGCUUAACUUUAUAAAUUAUGGUGAUUAAGUCUGAUAAUGUAUAAAUCAGUAUAUUAGCAUAAAUUUACAUAAAUGAACUCGGCAAAUAUAUUUACGACUGUUUAACAAAAACAUAGUCGAUAGCAAUUAAAUUAUCGAUGUGACCUGCCCGGUGACCCUUAAACGGCCGCAGUACUAUGACUGUGCAAAGGUAGCAUAAUCAUUUGACUUUUAAUUGAAGUCUGGCAUCAAAGGAUAAACGUAAAAAGGCUGUAUCUACUAUAAGUUUAUAAAAAUUAUUUAUGAAGUGAAAAUACUUCAAUUAAUAAAAUUAGACGAGAAGACCCUUAGAAUUUUAAGAAAAUCCUAUAUAUAUAGGGGCGAUUUUUGUUGGGGCAACAUAUUUUCAUUUUAAAUAAAAUAACUAUAAAUAAACAAAACGAAAGAGAUUAAUUAAGUGAAAAUUACCUUAGGGAUAACAGCAUAAUUUUAUUUAAAGAUUGUGACCUCGAUGUUGGACUAGGGACUAUUAGGGCUAGUCGUUUUAAUAAAAUAAGUUCUGUUCGAACUUUGCUCCCUA